rnacentral:rRNA from 1 species
UGGACCUCAGAUCAGGCAAGAUCACCCGCUGAGUUUAAGCAUAUCACUAAGCGGAGGAAAAGAAACUAACGAGGAUUUCCCUAGUAACGGCGAGCGAACCGGAAGUAGCC